rnacentral:misc_RNA from 1 species
GAUGAAGAACGUAGCGAAACGCGAUAAGUAAUGUGAAUUGCAGAAUCCAGUGAAUCAUCGAAUCUUUGAACGCACAUUGCGCCCGCCAGCAUUCUGGCGGGCAUGCCUGUUCGAGCGUCAUUACAACCCUCGACUUCCCUAGGGAAGUCGGCGUUGGGGACCGGCAGCACACCGCCGGCCCUGAAAUGGAGUGGCGGCCCGUCCGCGGCGACCUCUGCGUAGUAAACCAACUCGCACCGGAACCCCGACGUGGCCACGCCGUAAAACACCCAACUUCUAAACGUUGACCUCGAAUCAGGUAGGACUACCCGCUGAACUUAAGCAUAUCAAUAACGGAGGA